rnacentral:rRNA from 1 species
UACGGAAGGUCCGGGCGUUAUCCGGAUUUAUUGGGUUUAAAGGGAGCGUAGGCGGGCUGGUAAGCGUGCUGUGAAAGUCUGCGGCUCAACCGCAGCCGUGCAGCGCGAACUGCCUGUCUUGAGUGCGCGGAAGGCACGCGGAAUUCGUGGUGUAGCGGUGAAAUGCUUAGAUAUCACGAGGAACCCCGAUUGCGAAGGCAGCGUGCCGCAGCGUUACUGACGCUGAAGCUCGAAGGUGCGGGUAU